UCUUCUUGUCGAGUCCAUACACAAGAUUAGAAGCUGUUGGCCAGAGCUGAACACACCUCUCGGCAUCUGCAUACAAUGGUGUCUGUCUUGUCGCUUCUUGUGCUUCUUGUGCGUGGUGGUGGAAACAUUGGUGGA